GCCUCAGCUGCUCUGAGAGCAUGGAUCAGCAGCUAUUGCCAAACACUUUCUUGGCUGCUAAUAGCACUUUUUCCUCUUCUUUGUGUGGCUGAUAGUAGCUAUUUAAAACAGCAACAGCGAAUCAGACGAGUCUUCCUUACUGCAAGAUGCCUUCUUCUGUUCAAAUCGUCUUCAAGAUAAUACAAUUGGUCCGCUGUCUGCUGGAAAGGUUAUGACUGUGGACGCAAAUUAUUUUCUCGAAAACCAGAACACGGGCCAAGGGUCACGGGAGGUCACUGCCUCUCUCUGUGUGCCAGUAACAGACACAGAUGGUUAACAACCGGGCACAGCUUCAAAGAGCCAAGCAGUUAGUGGCGAUGUCGCAACGGUGUCGGGGUGAGCCGUAAUGUAUUGUGCUGCAAACAAGAAGGAUUGCAGGAUCCCUGCCUCCCAGCCCGUGGGAGCCCGUGGUGACGCCGGAGCUCAGCUGCUCGAGAGAAUUGAGCAUCGCCUUUUCUGCAAAUGUUUCCAACUCACCAGAGAAACCCUGGAGGACACAACCCUCACUGGCCAUAAUAUCAGAUCCUCUCUGCUUCUCUCUGAAUUUGCUUGCUAAAAUACAAUUAUA